CCAAAGUGAGAAUGUUUAAUGAGAUGUGAGGUCACGGCUCCCCAGUAAAGAUGUUCUUCUGGGAUUCGUUUGCCCGUGAAUUAGGCCCUAGAGUCAGAGAGCUGCAUUUGUGUUUGUGUCCGCGUUCUGCUACUUUGGAAGUUUGCCAUGGGCACGUAGUAGAGUUACAGAGUUAAAAGUGCUCACUGCAUAAGCAGCUUUGAGGACUGAAGGUGUGCCACAUGCUGAGUCUGAGCUCUGACUGUUGAGGGUACAGAGAACCAAGCGCAACAAACAUCAGUUGCUGUCUUUACACAGCCAGUUUGAGAUGAACAGUUAGCAAAUAAGGGAGGGAAAUGGAUCUAAGCACUUUAGAGAGGAGACAGGGUGCCCCCAACUCUGAAGACUUGUAUGCAAGGCAAAAAGAUUCAGUCCAACUUUGGAAGUCCCCAUCUUCCUCAACAGCCCUGCACUGCUCACAAGUGCAGCUCGGAGCCUCUUGAACCGGGCAAUCUCCUAACCCAAAGCAGACCGAGACUCCCCCGCCCCUUCAGACCCUCUCUACACCAUUUCAUCAUUCUCUUCUCCCUGUCCUUUCCCAGAGUCCUUUCCGUGCCACCACCUCCUUACCCCACUGAGUUUUGAUGUAUGUGUCACUUACCUGCUUCAGUUGGCCCAGGUCUCUUAUCAGGGACUGCCCCACCCCACUCACUGUAAUAGCUUCCUCUCCUUCCUCUCUGAGAGCUGCUCUCUCUUCCAUUCCCUUUGUCCUACUUUUGGAAUCCCACUUGACGUUGGUAUUGCACAUUCAUUUUUUUUUCUUUCUUUUUUAAGAUUUAUGUAUUUAUAUGAUCACACUGUAGCUAUCCCCAGACACACCAGAAGAGGGCAUCGGAUUCCAUUACAGAUGGCUGUGAGCCACCAUGUGGUUGCUGGGAAUCGAACUCAGGACCUCUGGAAGAGCAGCCAGUGCUCUUAACUGCUGAGCCAUCUCUCCAGCCCCCUGUGCAUUCAUUUUCUUGUUUGUCAUCUUCCUCCCAGGCAGCCCUUCUUCAACUUUACUGUACAAAGGAGCCCAUCUACAGGAGGUUAACUGAGCUUGUAAAAUCCAGACUACUUCUUCAUGUCGGUCAGGAUCUGACCAUGGCCGACCAAGUGGCAGGUGUUAACGAUGUUGCUGAUACAUGGACAGCAUUUCGAAAUCAGCUUUUGAAGGCUCAGAGCUCCUACAGGACCAGACCAGCAGCAAAACUGAGCAUAUAGUCAUCUGAACAGCACCUCUAAGCUGGGCCUGAUGCAGCAAAAGACUGUGGACAAGUGCAGCUUGCUCAACCUGCUUUCAUAUACAGCCCGGGGUCACCAUCUCAGGGAUGGCAUUGCCCCACCCCCACAUCAAUCACUAAUCAAGAAACUGCCACGAAGAUUUGCCUACUGGUCAACCUGACGGGGUCAUCUCAUCAGCUGAGGUUCCUUGUUCUCAGAGGAUCCUAGCUUGAGUUAAUUUGUAAAAAAAAAAAAAAAAAAAAAAAAGGUAUUAUGAAAGUUGGUGUUUUUAAAUUUCAUAAACUUGAAAAAAGUAAAGAUUGUAUAAACUGGCAA